UACGUAGGGUGCGAGCGUUGUCCGGAAUUAUUGGGCGUAAAGGGCUCGUAGGCGGUUGUCGCGUCGGAGUGAAACUCAGGCUCAACCCGGCCUGCAGUCGAUACGGGCAGACUAGAGUGCGGUAGGGAGACUGGAAUUCCUGGUGUAGCGGUGAAAUGCGCAGAUAUCAGGAGGAACACCGGUGGCGAAGGCGAGUCUCUGGACAUUUCCUGACGCUGAGGCACGAAAGCCAGGGAGCAAACGGG
rnacentral:rRNA from 1 species